GACGUCGAUAUUCGACGUCAUAAACACGAUAAACUUAGAUGUUUAUGACGUCGAUAUUCGACGUCAUAAACACGAUCAACUUUGCGGUGUUUAUGACGUCGAUAUUCGAAGUCAUAAACACGUUCAAUUUUGGUGUUUAUGACGUCGAUAUUCGACGUCAUAAACACGCUCAACUUUGCGGUGUUUAUGACGUCGAUAUUCGAAGUCAUAAACACGAUCAAUUUUGGUGUUUAUGACGUCGAUAUUCGACGUC